UGGCUCAGUUAGUAGAGCAUGGUGUUUGCAAUGCCAGGGUUGUGGGUUCGUUUCCCAC
rnacentral:tRNA from 1 species